GGGACUGAGACACGGCCCAGACUCCUACGGGAGGCAGCAGUGGGGAAUAUUGGACAAUGGGCGAAAGCCUGAUCCAGCCAUGCCGCGUGUGUGAAGAAGGUCUUCGGAUUGUAAAGCACUUUAAGUUGGGAGGAAGGGUUGUAGCCUAAUACGUUGCAACUUUGACGUUACCGACAGAAUAAGCACCGGCUAACUUCGUGCCAGCAGCCGCGGUAA
rnacentral:rRNA from 1 species